rnacentral:lncRNA from 1 species
GAAAGGGCCCACGGGGGCAUUAAACAAACAAAACCCCGAAGUCCAGAUCCUCAUGAAAUCCAAGUUGUAGGGGGUGGAGACAAAAAGUAAACAACAAACAAGUCCCUGUCAGAUGGUAGAUCACCUCAGACAGCACCUGUUCACUACACUUGAAAUGCAGCCGAACCCUCCAGCUCCUUUCAGCCUGGUCACCCAACAGCUGUCACUCAAACAAUGCCUCUCAGCCACCCCAGGCCUGAUUUGGAUUUGACCUACUGACCUCGAGAUACAGAGUUGUGAAGGUGGGUGCUUUGGGGUUCUCAGCUCCCUUCUCCCUGACAAAAAGGAGAGAGGAUCAAGUUGAUAUUGAGAGAUAAUAGAAGUGUGGUGGUUAAGAGCAUGAACUCCGGAGUCUGAAUGACUGGGUUUGAAUCCAAGCUGUACAACUUAUUGGACGUAUAAAAUUCCAUGGAUGUCAAUUUUCUCACUUCUAAAAUUGGGUUGAUAAUAGCAACCUAUCUGACAAGG